rnacentral:misc_RNA from 1 species
CCUAGAGUUGCGGCUUUGCCUGCCAUCUCUUACCCAUGUCUUUUGAGUACCUUCGUUUCCUCGGCGGGUCCGCCUGCCGACUGGACAAUUUAAACCAUUUGGCAGUUGCAAUCAGCGUCUGAAAAAACUUAAUAGUUA